UAAUACAUGCGUUGGUUUAGGAUGUCUAUAGUAUGAGGAGGCUUGUGACUUGCACCAAUACUAAUCUAUCUCUUCGUGCAGUUUAUCAAAUACCAAUGUGGUUUAGAUCUGGAUUGUGCCAACACUAACUUAAUAUGCUUCAAAUUGAUUUGCUUGCUAGUUUCUAAACUAAACUAAGACUAUUACAGAUCUAGAUCUGUAUUAAUUCAAUUGUAUUCCUUCCAACACAUUAAUUGGUGUUCCUGCUCAAACUGGGAAGCAUUUUGUGCAGUCUUGCACACUAACAAUAUGAAGUACUAAGGAUCCAGCCCUUGUAGUAUACCACCUUCCUUUGAGAUUCU
rnacentral:lncRNA from 1 species